AAAAUAACCACGAGACCGAUAGCGAACAAGUACCGUGAGGGNAAGUUGAAAAGAACUUUGAAGAGAGAGUUCAAGAGUACGUGAAACCGUUCAGGGGUAAACCUGAGAAACCCAAAAGAUCGAAUGGGGAGAUUCAUCGUCAGCKCAUUUGGUAUAUAUGCAGAUUGCGAUGCAAGUUAUUUUACUUGCACGUGUUUGUGUAUUUAAUUGUUNAANGNKUGUCSGCGKGCACYUCUYCCCUARUARGASGUCCCGNCCCSYUGAGGGNCGGUSUWCGGCCCMMAAGGKARUCUUUKAUAUUUUUUUUGUAUUGAAGACCACUGGUGWUUUCUGGCCGACUGCUUGACGGUAUUCGCACGGUAUUGAGCCGCAAUAUAAUGCGUCAAAUUCGCCACAAGCGCGGUCAAUUAUAAUUCGGUUGUUUAACGGACUUUGUGCCGUCACUGAGCUUGACCAGCUGUUAGUUGUGCGAUAUUAUUUGACUGGCUCAAAUUGAUAAUAACAAUUACCGGUCG
rnacentral:rRNA from 1 species